GAGAAACCUGAUAAUAGAAGUAGCUCCUGGGUAGAUUGCAAGUCUAGAUUGAUCUCAAUUGGGAAGAACAAUGAAGACAUCUCCCUUUGUUUUAUGCAUGUUUGUGUGGCUGCAUCUGGACUGGGUGAGCCAAGGAGAGAAGGUGGAGCAGCGGCCUUCUACCCUGAGUGUCCAGGAGGGAGACAGCGCUGUUAUCAACUGUACUUAUUCAGAUAGUGGUUUUAACUACUUUCCUUGGUAUAAGCAAGAGGCUGGAAAAGGUUUCCGGAUGAUUAUAGACAUACGUUCAAAUAAGGAGAUAAAUCAAAUCCAAAGAUUCAUUGUUGUGUUGGAUAAGAAAGCCAAACACUUCUCCCUGAACAUUACAGCCACCCAACCUGGAGACUCAGCUGUCUACUUCUGUGCAGCUGAUGCACGAUGCUUCCCAGACACCUGCAGCCUGUACUCAAACCUGCCACUGAGCUGAGCUGCUUCCUUUCCAUAGACUUCCCAGUAUACUGUUUGCUAUAUUUGUUUUGGAAAGCAGUAACUGCCAUAUAGUUAUUAAAAGCAUGUAAUAAAAAACGUUAGGUCCAUGAUGAUCUAGAAAGAGUUAGAAUGUUUUGUUGGUUGAUUAUUCUUAGUAAUUAUUUUAAAUUUGCAUUU